rnacentral:RNase_P_RNA from 1 species
AGGAAAGUCUAAUCCCUUGUAAACGAACGCAUAGCGUUGCGAAUACGAUAACGUUAGCGCUUAGGAAAGCGAGUGGGGUGACAGAUCCUGUUUCCCUCGCAACGAGGACGAAAGCGUUUGCCCCUCCGAAGUUUGUUUGGGGAUAAGGUUCAAUAUUAUUGAAUUGUCGCUUGAUUUCAUUCGGAAAAAUUGCCGCGGGGUGGUUGCCUCACUCAACUAAACUUAGCUUACCGCU